rnacentral:rRNA from 1 species
UACGAAGGGUGCAAGCGUUACUCGGAAUUACUGGGCGUAAAGCGUGCGUAGGUGGUGAGUUAAGUCUGUCGUGAAAGCCCCGGGCUCAACCUGGGAAUGGCGAUGGAUACUGGCUCGCUAGAGUGCGGUAGGGGAGAUCGGAAUUCCUGGUGUAGCGGUGAAAUGCGCAGAUAUCAGGAGGAACACCGGUGGCGAAGGCGGAUCUCUGGGCCUUACCUGACGCUCAGGUGCGAAAGCUAGGGGAGCAAACAGG